rnacentral:rRNA from 1 species
UGGCAUGCGCGUGCUAUACAUGCAGUCGAGCGAAUCUGAGGGAGCUUGCUCCCAAAGAUUAGCGGCGGACGGGUGAGUAACACGUGGGCAACCUGCCUGUAAGACUGGGAUAACUUCGGGAAACCGGAGCUAAUACCGGAUAAUCCUUUUCUACUCAUGUAGAAAAGCUGAAAGAUGGCUUCGGCUAUCACUUACAGAUGGGCCCGCGGCGCAUUAGCUAGUUGGUGAGGUAACGGCUCACCAAGGCGACGAUGCGUAGCCGACCUGAGAGGGUGAUCGGCCACACUGGGACUGAGACACGGCCCAGACUCCUACGGGAGGCAGCAGUAGGGAAUCUUCCGCAAUGGACGAAAGUCUGACGGAGCAACGCCGCGUGAGUGAUGAAGGUUUUCGGAUCGUAAAACUCUGUUGUUAGGGAAGAACAAGUACCGUUCGAAUAGGGCGGUACCUUGACGGUACCUAACCAGAAAGCCACGGCUAACUACGUGCCAGCAGCCGCGGUAAUACGUAGGUGGCAAGCGUUGUCCGGAAUUAUUGGGCGUAAAGCGCGCGCAGGUGGUUUCUUAAGUCUGAUGUGAAAGCCCCCGGCUCAACCGGGGAGGGUCAUUGGAAACUGGGAGACUUGAGUGCAGAAGAGGAAAGUGGAAUUCCAAGUGUAGCGGUGAAAUGCGUAGAGAUUUGGAGGAACACCAGUGGCGAAGGCGACUUUCUGGUCUGUAACUGACACUGAGGCGCGAAAGCGUGGGGAGCGAACAGGAUUAGAUACCCUGGUAGUCCACGCCGUAAACGAUGAGUGCUAAGUGUUAGAGGGUUUCCGCCCUUUAGUGCUGCAGCAAACGCAUUAAGCACUCCGCCUGGGGAGUACGGCCGCAAGGCUGAAACUCAAAGGAAUUGACGGGGGCCCGCACAAGCGGUGGAGCAUGUGGUUUAAUUCGAAGCAACGCGAAGAACCUUACCAGGUCUUGACAUCCUCUGACAAUCCUAGAGAUAGGACGUUCCCCUUCGGGGGACAGAGUGACAGGUGGUGCAUGGUUGUCGUCAGCUCGUGUCGUGAGAUGUUGGGUUAAGUCCCGCAACGAGCGCAACCCUUGAUCUUAGUUGCCAGCAUUCAGUUGGGCACUCUAAGGUGACUGCCGGUGACAAACCGGAGGAAGGUGGGGAUGACGUCAAAUCAUCAUGCCCCUUAUGACCUGGGCUACACACGUGCUACAAUGGAUGGUACAAAGGGCUGCAAGACCGCGAGGUUUAGCCAAUCCCAUAAAACCAUUCUCAGUUCGGAUUGCAGGCUGCAACUCGCCUGCAUGAAGCCGGAAUCGCUAGUAAUCGCGGAUCAGCAUGCCGCGGUGAAUACGUUCCCGGGCCUUGUACACACCGCCCGUCACACCACGAGAGUUUGUAACACCCGAAGUCGGUGGGGUAACCGCAAGGAGCCAGCCGCCUAAGGUGACAGAGUAGAACACA